rnacentral:rRNA from 1 species
GCAUCUAAGCACGAAACUUGCCCCGAGAUGAGUUCUCCCUGAGACUUUAGGUCUCCUGAAGGAACGUUGAAGACGACGACGUUGAUAGGCCGGGUGUGUAAGCGCAGCGAUGCGUUGAGCUAACCGGUACUAAUGAACCGUGAGGCUUAACCUUACAACGCCGAAG